GACGCGUUAUGUCAGUGGUAGACGGUCAGAUUCCAGCAUGGAGCAUCCUGAAGGUCAACGGUUCAAGUCCGUUACGUGUCA